UACGUAGGGGGCGAGCGUUGUCCGGAUUUAUUGGGCGUAAAGAGCUCGUAGGCGGUUUGGCAAGUCGGGUGUGAAAACUCCGGGCUCAACUCGGAGACGCCACUCGAUACUGCUAUGACUCGAGUCCGGUAGGGGAGUGCGGAAUUCCUGGUGUAGCGGUGAAAUGCGUAGAUAUCGAGAGGAACACCAGUGGCGAAGGCGAGUCUCUGGACGACUCCUGACACUGAGGCACGAAAGCCAGGGGAGCAAACAGG
rnacentral:rRNA from 1 species